GACGAACGCUGGCGGCGUGCUUAACACAUGCAAGUCGAACGGUGAUGAUGGGAGCUUGCUUUCAUCUGAUCAGUGGCGAACGGGUGAGUAACACGUGAGUAACCUGCCCCAGACUCUGGAAUAACUUCGGGAAACCGGAGCUAAUACUGGAUAUGAAACAGAUCCGCAUGGGUACUGUUUGGAAAGUUUUUCGGUUUGGGAUGGACUCGCGGCCUAUCAGCUUGUUGGUGAGGUAAUGGCUCACCAAGGCGACGACGGGUAGCCGGCCUGAGAGGGCGACCGGCCACACUGGGACUGAGACACGGCCCAGACUCCUACGGGAGGCAGCAGUGGGGAAUAUUGCACAAUGGGCGAAAGCCUGAUGCAGCGACGCCGCGUGAGGGAUGACGGCCUUCGGGUUGUAAACCUCUUUCAGCAGGGAAGAAGCGAAAGUGACGGUACCUGCAGAAGAAGCACCGGCUAACUACGUGCCAGCAGCCGCGGUAAUACGUAGGGUGCGAGCGUUGUCCGGAAUUAUUGGGCGUAAAGAGCUUGUAGGCGGUUUGUCGCGUCUGCCGUGAAAUUUCGAGGCUCAACCUCGAACUUGCGGUGGGUACGGGCAGACUAGAGUGUGGUAGGGGAGACUGGAAUUCCUGGUGUAGCGGUGAAAUGCGCAGAUAUCAGGAGGAACACCGAUGGCGAAGGCAGGUCUCUGGGCCACUACUGACGCUGAGAAGCGAAAGCAUGGGGAGCGAACAGGAUUAGAUACCCUGGUAGUCCAUGCCGUAAACGUUGGGAACUAGGUGUGGGUCUCAUUCCACGAGAUCCGUGCCGCAGCUAACGCAUUAAGUUCCCCGCCUGGGGAGUACGGCCGCAAGGCUAAAACUCAAAGGAAUUGACGGGGGCCCGCACAAGCGGCGGAGCAUGCGGAUUAAUUCGAUGCAACGCGAAGAACCUUACCAAGGCUUGACAUAUGCGAGAACGCGGCAGAGAUGUCGUUCUCUUUGGACACUCGUAUACAGGUGGUGCAUGGUUGUCGUCAGCUCGUGUCGUGAGAUGUUGGGUUAAGUCCCGCAACGAGCGCAACCCUCGUUCUAUGUUGCCAGCACGUGAUGGUGGGG
rnacentral:rRNA from 1 species